AAAGCACUCAUUUAAAAAUUUGAAUUAGAGUUAUGAAUGGCUCAAUUUCUGUGAAAGAAAAACGUGGAGUUUUUUCCCUCCAGAUAGGAAAAAGGUGAAGAAUGUGUCAAAGAUGAAUGGCUGAGGAAUGAACUACGUCACAGUUGUCUGGCCUGGAAUACCUGAAGAAACACCUCAUCCUGCAUGCGCCCUCUGGUGGAUUAUGGCAGCUUCAGAGGGAGCUCUGCUUCAGGUGUCUACAUUCUGUGACGUCAGAUGUAUUGGAAUGAGAGUCCUCAAUACCUCAGGAAAGAAAGUUGUCUGAAAGAUCUUUUGUGAGGGCUGAAACUGUUUGCACUUCUGAUCUGAAAAUUGUCAUCUUCUUCACUCCGGGAUCAGAUUCUCAUGUCUGACUGCACAUCCUUCCAGAUAAUUAUUCCUCUUAGUCAUACAACUAGUGGUAGUGAACACCACCUUCUUCCUAAAUGUUCUUCAAAACUAUUGUUGUAACAGUGAGGAAUGACUUUACUCCCUCUGUAGUGUAAUUGUACUUUUUCUAUUAUCUCUACAGUUACAGAUCUAUGGCCACACCAAUGUUGGGGGAUUCAUAUUGUGUUGUGCCUCUGGCUGCCUAGUGUUCUGUUGUGAUGAUUGACACAAUGAAAAGAGGGGAGAAAAGUGUGUUUGGGUCCACAGACCAAUGACUUGUAUGUUCAGAUGUUUUACAUUGCUAAAAAGUAAUGGCUGCCUA